rnacentral:lncRNA from 1 species
AAGUGAAAAGGGAAGGUGAAACUGAGAAACAGACUCAGAGAUGGGGGAAAGACGGCAAGCAGCAGAGACAGCUUCACACUAAGGAGUCUCUAAGGAGUAAGAUACUCUGCCUGGGGACGUGUCACAGUGCUCCACACUGGGGCCAGCCACGUGCAGAGCAAGGCGGAACUUUUUUUUUAAGGUCUUAAUUUUAUUAUUAUUUUUUCUUUAUGUAGAAAAACUAGCAUGAAACACUGACAGCACACUCAGCUUGGAUUUCCGGAUCAGACCGUGGCGGUUAGAGCAAGAACCCUGGCCGGAUUUUCUGUCGGUGACUUCAGGAGAGCUGCUAGUGGUCCAUCCUGCCUUCCGACUGCGCACGCAUGCGCUCUUCCCAAGACACACUAACGAUACUGACAAUAAAGGAACAAAAGCGGAAGCAUAAAGGAUGAAAAAGAACACCGAAGACGUAGUCGUCGUUUAAAGUUAAAGAUCUAGCAGACAGCGAGAUGGCCCAGCAGGCAAGGGUGUUUGCCGCCAAAUCUGACUUCCUGCGUUCAGUCCCCAGAUCACAUCCCAUGUGGGGGAAAGAGAGAACCAUCCGACUCCUACAAGUGGUCUUCGACCUUCACACUCCUGCCACGGGGACGUGCAUGCUCACAUGUGUGCUAAAUAAACGAAUGCAUAUAUGUCAGUUCCAAAAGC